GGUUUCUGCAGCAAUUUUGUUUUUGCCUUGAAAGAGGUGCUCUGGAUUAUCAGACCUCCAUGUAUGACAAUUUGUACCUGCAUGGAAUUGAAGACUCGGAGGCUGAAGAAUAAUGUGAUGUGUUACCCAAGAUGGUGUGAACAGAGCUUCAAGCCAAUGGAGAAGACUAGGCCUAAAUAGCUGACCUGGUGAAGUGACACAUAAAGCCACACCUGGAGUGCCACCUCCUCAGCAGUCUUUCUCAGUGCCAAUGCAUUUAUGGCUGGUUCAGCGGAUUCCUACACAAGCAGGCCGUCUGACUCCGAUGUCUCUUUGGAAGAGGACCGGGAAGCAAUUCGACAGGAGAGAGAACAGCAAGCAGCUAUCCAGCUUGAGAGAGCAAAGUCCAAACCUGUAGCAUUUGCCGUGAAGACAAAUGUGAGCUACUGCGGCGCCCUGGACGAGGAUGUGCCUGUUCCAAGCACAGCUAUUUCCUUUGAUGCUAAAGACUUUCUACAUAUUAAAGAGAAAUAUAACAAUGAUUGGUGGAUAGGAAGGCUAGUGAAAGAGGGCUGUGAAAUUGGCUUCAUUCCAAGCCCACUCAGAUUGGAGAACAUACGGAUUCAGCAAGAACAAAAAAGAGGACGUUUUCAUGGAGGGAAAUCAAGUGGAAAUUCUUCUUCAAGUCUUGGAGAAAUGGUAUCUGGGACAUUUCGAGCAACUCCCACAUCAACAGGUGAGGGUUGUAGUUAAACUCUUUUUCAUAGACUGUAUUCCUUUUAAAAAUAUUUGAACACACAUGCAAGUAUGUUUGCUAAUUUGGAAACAAUUUGAAGGCUUAAUUUAAAGAUUUCUCUAAUAUUUCAUUUCUCAUUUGUUUUCUAUGGUAAUUUGAUUUCAUUUAAAAUGGUACUAAAAGUUCACGUCAUUAGAAUAUAAUUUUGAAAAAUCUUAUUUACCCCCCAGAGUUAAAAACUGUCCAUUGUGUAAAUUGAUAUUCAAAAAAUUCAUAUUUUACCUAAGAAACGGACAGAGUUUAAGAUGGUGAGGGCCAAUAAAAAAAGGAAAAAAAUGAUGCAGACUCUCAAGAAAAUGCUCUGUUUUCAGUCUCCAUGUGGAACUUCAGGAAGUAUUAGUACAGCCUGAGCUGGGAGGGUUGAAGCAGAGAGUAAGGCAGGGCCCAAAUGAGGGAGGGUGUCAUUUACAUUUGGACAGCAGACAGCCAAGCCCUGAAAUUAAUGGUAAUGAAGAGAUAGUGGUGGCCUAGUAGGGAGUUGUGGUGCAUUUGGAAACUAUGGAGGUAUUCCUGUAGGAAUUUUUCUUCUACCACAUUCCCUGAUUCCUAUAGGCUAAUUUCAUUCUGGCCUACAAUUGCUGUUUCAUUAGGGCAUCCAGUGCCCUAGUUACCAAUUCCAAUUGUAUUACCAAUUUGGAAUGGCAAGUCCAAGGCCCUAUCCUGGCCUACCAAAACUGGAGGCAACUGGAUUGGUUCUGGAAUGGUUCUAAGUGUCUGGGUGGUUGUUCAUGUGAAGCCCUCUGAUCUACGGGACACUGAACCAAACCAGGUUUCUGAGUUGUACCCAACUAGACUGGAGCUGCUUGGAUGUCCACAGAAUUGCUUUAAAUCAGUUAUUGAGUGUAUUUUGCUUCGUUCCCAUUUGUUGGACAUUCAGGACAUUGAACACUUUAGCUAUUACAAACAGGAAAGAACAGCAAUAACUGGUUAUAAAUUUAUCUGAGGAAUAACUGGUUAUAAAUAUAUUUGAAAUUUAAAAGCAAGAUAGUAGGAAAAAUGUGCUAAUAUUCUAGAAAAUGGGCAAAAAUGCCCAAGGGACUGCAGAAUUAUGAGUUAACAAAUAUAAAAAUAACUAGUGAUUGAGGUGAUAGUCAUUUUUGCCCAAGUGGUUAUUCUGUUUCCUUUUAUGAAAUUGCAUUUGUCUACCUUGUUCCCAGCAACACUGUGCUAUGUCCAGCACAGGAACAACCCAUGGUGAAUGGCUGGCCCGGAACUUCCAGUGUUGCUCUCAACUCCUGUACCGAACUCCCACCCAGUGAGAAAUCAGGAUAUAAGAUCAUUUGUACCAGGGAGGAAGCUGUCUGUUUUUCAUACAUCUUCAAAAUUGACAUGUCCAGAAUGAAAUCAUAAGGCAGGUUCUCCAAAGUGGGUGAUAGGAAAGUGGUGAAGAUAAUUACAGGGACAAAUGGGUACAUUCUUCCAUCUUUUAAACUCAUGUACUGUCAUUUGCAGAGAUUACAUAUUUUGAUAUGGCUCUCGUUAUUGUCUUUUAGCAAAACAGAAGCAAAAAGUGGUAAGUUGUGUUUCCUUUUUAAAUCUACUGUUAAGGUUCCUAUACAUACAUGCCCGCAAUGCUCCAUUUCAGUGACCCAAGUGGCUAUAAAAUAAGGGAAGAGCCUCCUCGGUGGGGACUUUGAUAAUCAUUUGUCGUUCAACCUGAGAAUUAUGAAUGUUGUGGCUGUGGAGAGGCAUGCUCAACCUCACCUUGUCAUGCAUGUUGAAUCAUCUUUUUCAGACGGAGCACAUUCCUCCUUAUGAUGUUGUGCCGUCAAUGCGUCCGGUGGUGUUAGUGGGGCCGUCACUGAAAGGUUACGAGGUACAAAUAUCAUCUGUUACUCUUCAGUUCUUGAUCGAGCACCCAGGAGACAGUCAUGUUGAUGCUUGCUCCUCAAGGGUCUGUUUCCACGUGGGUUCUGAUGGAAGCCAGUGCUCAGCAUGGGAAGGCAAUGGGUAUCGUGUGGGGCUCAUGAGGCCCUCUGCCCUUUCUUUCCUCUCUUGCACACUUCUCAUCUUUUAUGAAUUACAUUGUUUAGAAAUACCUCCCUCAAAAUAUUUACAAUGGGAAGAUCUGGUCAAAGAUUUGCUAUACAUUAAAUGCAAAGAAAAGGACUUUAUCUCUCUUGACCAUUCUCAUUAUUAUUAGAAGUAAUAGAGAAUGAACAGCACAAGAGGACAAACAAUCAAUCUUCCAGCAAACGCAAACCUUUAAAGCCCAGAGUUCACCCUGCUGGGUUUUUAAGAUGAUGGCAUAUGCCACCAAAUCCUUCUCUCCUUAUUUAUUUUAAAGGGCACAUGUUUUAAAAGACCACUAAAAACAUUAGUGAACUUUGGAGAUUAAACAAAACCAUGUGACAAGGAAAAGAGUAGAGACUUCGUUUCAGAUGUUUGUUUUGACUUUGUGCUAGCAUGGAUUAAAAAAUAGGUAGAUGUGACAUUAAACUCUGAAAGUGAGCAGCCUCCAGGGCACCAUUCCCGUCGAGCUAGGACAAUGUGUGGCACAUAGUAGGCACUCAGUACACAUUUGCUGAAUGAAUUAAUGAAUCUCUUUCAGGCAGAUCUAAGAAUCCUUGCUCUAUCCCCCUCUUUCUCUCUUGUCUUUCUCAGAGUUGGAAAUGUCAGAGGGAUGAGCAGGAGAGUGGUCUACAAAAAUCCAGCCAUGGGCAUGGAGAAUUUCUGCCAACAUACACAAACUAGCAGGAAGGCUGAGUCCAGUGCUGGCCUCAGUUCUCUAGCUGCUCCUCACUGAAGGCAGGCACAACUCAGGCGUGCCAAGGAUACCCAGCACCUGUGUACAAAGCCAGCCUGUUGUCUCCUGGCAGCAGUUCUAUCCCCUAACGAGGGAAGAGGGAAGAGGGUCUGGUGAACACUGCUGGUUUAUUCCUCAACACCCUGGAGGAGAACCAAGGGGGGUGGAAAUUAGCAAUUGCACAUGGUUAAGCAUGAAAAACACCUUCCAUGGUAACCUACCCCUAGGAGACGAAUGGCUGCAAUAAGGUCUUGGCUCAUAGUGCCCUUCCCUCCCUCCUCUCUCACUUUUGACUUCUCUCUCUCUCUCUCUGCGUGUGUUUGCCUCAUUCUUUUUUUCUCACCUCUGCAAAGGUAACAGACAUGAUGCAGAAAGCCCUCUUUGAUUUCCUGAAGCACAGGUUUGAUGGGAGGAUAUCAAUAACGAGAGUGACAGCUGACAUUUCUCUUGCUAAGAGGUCUGUCCUAAAUAAUCCCAGCAAGAGAGCAAUAAUUGAACGUUCGAACACCCGGUCCAGCUUAGCGGAAGUACAAAGUGAAAUUGAAAGAAUCUUUGAGUUGGCAAGAUCUUUGCAACUGGUUGUUCUUGAUGCAGACACCAUCAAUCACCCAGCACAACUUAUAAAGACUUCCUUAGCACCAAUUAUUGUUCAUGUAAAAGUCUCAUCUCCAAAGGUAAUUAGCUCCUUUCUGCCUUAAGGUUUAGAAGCGCAUCUUUUAAAAAUGUGCUUUGCUCUGUGGUUUUUUUGUUAGUGGACAAAGGAGAACGUCUUGCUGAUUAUUAAUAAGCACAUUUAAAAUCUUCCCACAGUAUACAGAUUCUAUGAAUUUUCAGAUAGUGAAGAAUAUAAUAGUUCAUUUCUUCUAAAAGCUACUAUUGUAGAUCCCAAACAAGACAGUUAUGCAAGUGUAUAAUAGAAACAAAACACUAAGACAGAUGUGGAAAAGUAGACUCUGGCUUAUCAUAGACUAUGAAUUUUAUAUUGGUAAAUUUCUUGGAUGCUCUUGAUUCCUGUGUCACCCAUACUCUGUACCUAGUUGAGAGAGC
rnacentral:sRNA from 1 species